GAAAAACCGCUGCAUUGCCGGCCCUAGUUCCAUCCCUACCAAUAUCCUUGUGUGUCUGAUUUCUGCCGUAUGUCGUCGUGAAUCGUGAGAAGGGCAGCACAAAACAAGAAGGGACUGGCGAUCGUCAACGGAAUGGUUCCUAUGAAAACCAAACGUUAAUCGUAUAUGCCUAGAACCACGCCCAUCUGUUGUCGAUUGGAGAACUCAAUACGCACCCAUCGAUUUCAAAUGCCAUUAUAACUUUUCUUAAUCGUCGAUCUCCUCGAUAAGAAGUAAGAACAAUUUCUGUCUAAAUAUGAUAUUUUGCUUUCAAAUUCCCACUUAUCAAUCUAUUACAUAGCUCUCAAAGUGUUUAUGAGACGAUUUUUGAUUUUUAAAUACAUUGAUUUCAUUAAUUUCAAGUUCUGAUUGCCCUAUUUCUUGACUUCAAACCACCUGCUUGCUGUUUGUUGGGAAGCCCUUCAAUAUUCUUAAAGUUCAACUUUUUUGAAAAUGCACCUUGCGAAUUGUGUCACUAUUAGAACAGGUCUUUUUCUUGAUUGUAAUCUGGGCAGUUGUGUGGGGGAUGUAAUUAAUCAACGAAGCAACUCAUCGGCUAAAGCUCUAUCUUUUUCCCUAUUUCAUUCUAUCUUUUCCCUUAUAUUCUUUAAGUUUUGGAGAUGAAAUUGAAUUUUCUUUUGUUUGCAAAUAUAUUGAUCUGCAUUUUCAUAUGUUUGCAAAAACUAUGGUAGUCAAUCUGACUUGAGAAUUGCUGCAUUAAGAACAUCAUCUUUGUGUUUUCAUUACUCAUGGGUGAAUAAUUGAGAUAUUAUAUAUUGGUUUUAACUUUUAAUGGUAAAUUUGAAUAUACCCUGCUGCUAUCUUUUGCUGGUUUUUGAUUUAAGAUUUUUCAACCAAAUGAUACGGUUUAACAUAUAACAUAACUUUCUUCAUGUUCAUGAAUAAAUGACUGCUGAAUUUCUAUUAUCAAAUGUCAUUUUCCUUUUUUUUUUUAUGAUAUUGAUUUGAUGUUGAUUGGUUUGAUAAUUUCAAAUCUCGUUUUGCUCACAUUGUCAAAUCUUAUAUUAGAAAGAUCCAAAACAUAUAUCUGUCUAUCUAAGGAGAUGGGGUUAGACUAAUGAGUUUGAUUAACCUCAAUUUCAGGGACAAAUUUUUUUCUAAUUUGAUAGUUCAAUGUCUUCCUUCUAUUUUGAUAUUUCAAACAUGAUUAAGUUGAGUUUGACUAAUGUGGUCUUUCUAAGGAGAUGAGGUUAGACUAAUGAGUUUGAUUAACCUCAAUUUCAGGGACAAAUUUUUUUCUAAUUUGAUAGUUCAAUGUCUUCCUUCUAUUUUGAUAUUUCAAACAUGAUUAAGUUGUACACUUUGAAGAUCGUGGAAAGGUAAGAAAUCCAUGAUCGAUUUCUUCUAUGAUGAGGCAUGGUUAGGUUUUAUGAUCCUUAAAUAGAAGUAAAGUUGUAUACAACAAUCAACAUUUGGUAUUUAGUCUUAUUGUGAUUUUUAGUUUCUAUAAAUAUGAUUUUUUUUAAAUAAAAAAGUGUGUUCAGUUUUGUUUUAUGAAUUUCUUUUAUAUAGUUUUGGUACAUAUGUAAG
rnacentral:lncRNA from 1 species